rnacentral:rRNA from 1 species
GAUGGCAAGAUAACCAAGGACAGCAAGGAGACCAUGCAAGAGUGCGUCUCCGAGUUCAUCUCCUUCAUCACCAGUGAGGCGAGCGACAAGUGCCAGAGGGAGAAGCGCAAGACCAUCAACGGUGACGACCUGCUCUGGGCGAUGGCAAGACUGGGGUUUGAGGAGUACAUUGAGCCCCUCAAGGUUUAUAUGCAGAAGUACAAAGAGGUGCAUGCCUAUUUAGUCAUGUGGCAAUUUUUUUCUAAACUAAUUCGGUAUGUUGCUGCUGUGGCCUGA